CUGCUCCAGUCCGCGCUGGCUCCCUGACUUGAGAGUACUUAUCGGGAAGGACGCAAUUUCUUUUUCAGGAAAGGGAGAGAGGAAAACAGUGGGGGUCGAUUCGUCUCCGUCUGGAGGGAUCACACGAUGAAACCGGCUUCAAGCGUCAUGCAACGUCCCAGGGGCCCCACGGGAAGGUUCAUUCCUUGGUUCGUGCUGCCCCCUGGACACGUGCCUUCCUCCAGUCCACGUGCUCAGCUCUUUGCCUGAUGAAGGCUGUUUGCCCUUCCAAACUGCCAUCUCUUAGGCGAAGUCGACCCCCUACCCCACCCUUCCCGCCCCCGCCGCCUCUCCCAACCCUCAGGCCUCAGCUUCUUGCAUUGGCAUUGGAGGCUAUCCUUAUCUGCUUCCUACCAUCUCCAGCCUGGCGCAAGCUGCUCAAAGUCAAGCUUUCCCCACGCCUGGUUUAGCAGGCCCAAGGCCAGUGUUUGAUAAACUACGCUAAAAAAUCAUGUGGACUCGGAGAAUGGAACAAAAGUGAUUUAUAAGUGAUGACAAACCAUCCUUCUGAUCUCAAUUGAAUGUACCUAGAAGCUUUUGGAUCAAAAGUAUCAAGUGGGCAACCUUGUGUGAGCGCCUUUCCGUCCUCUUGCUCAUCUGCAGCCCAAAGCCUGGCAAACUGUUAACCCCUCGCCAUGUCUCUGCACCUUCCUUUGAACUGUUUUUUAUUCAUUGCUGCUGUGUUUUGGUUUUUCUGAGAUUUUUUUGUUGUUUUUCUUUUUUUUUCUGCUUUUUUUAGGGCUCUACCCCCCUGCAUAUGGAAGUUCCCAGGCUAGGGUUCCAAUCCCAGCUACAGCUGCUGGCCUACACCACAGCCACAGCAACACCAGAUCUGGGUCUCAUCUUCGACCUACACCACCGCUCAUGGCAACGCCGGAUUCUUAACCCACUGAGCAAGGCCAGGGAUCGAAGCCAUAUCCUCAUGAAUCCUAGGGGGGUUGGUCGACCACUGAGCCAUGAAGGGAACUCCUAUUCUGGGUAUUUCUAUAAGAGCCUUUUUGGUUGUGAUAAACAUUUUUUUUUUUUUUUUUUGUAUUUAACUCUUCCUAUUUUAUUUUAUUUUUUAUUUUUAAAAAAUUUUUUUAUUUUCCCACUGUACAGCAAGGGGGUCAGGUUAUCCUUACAUGUAUACAUUACAAUUACAUUUUUUCCCCCACCCUUUGUUCUGUUGCAACAUGAGUAUCUAGACAUAGUUCUCAAUGCUAUUCAGCAGGAUCUCCUUGUAAAUCUAUUCUAAGUUGUGUCUGAUAAGCCCAAGCUCCCGAUCCCUCCCACUCCCUCCCCCUCCCAUCAGGCAGCCACAAGUCUCUUCUCCAAGUCCAUGAUUUUCUUUUCUGAGGAGAUGUUCAUUUGUGCUGGAUAUUAGAUUCCAGUUAUAAGUGAUAUCAUAUGGUAUUUGUCUUUGUCUUUCUGGCUCAUUUCACUCAGUAUGAGAUUCUCUAGUUCCAUCCAUGUUGCUGCAAAUGGCAUUAUGUCAUUCUUUUUUAUGGCUGAGUAGUAUUCCAUUGUGUAUAUAUACCACAUCUUCCGAAUCCAAUCAUCUGUCGAUGGACAUUUGGGUUGUUUCCAUGUCCUGGCUAUUGUGAAUAGUGCUGCAAUGAACAUGCGGGUGCAUGUGUCUCUUUUAAGUAGAGUUUUGUCCGGAUAGAUGCCCAAGAGUGGGAUUGCGGGGUCAUAUGGAAGUUCUAUGUAUAGAUUUCUAAGGUAUCUCCAAACUGUUCUCCAUAGUGGCUGUACCAGUUUACAUUCCCACCAACAGUGCAGGAGGGUUCCCUUUUCUCCACAGCCCCUCCAGCACUUGUUAUUUGUGGAUUUAUUAAUGAUGGCCAUUCUGACUGGUGUGAGGUGGUAUCUCAUGGUAGUUUUGAUUUGCAUUUCUCUUAUAAUCAGCGAUGUUGAGCAUUUUUUCAUGUGUUUGUUGGCCAUCUGUAUAUCUUCUUUGGAGAAAUGUCUAUUCAGGUCUUUUGCCCAUUUUUCCAUUGAUUGAUUGGUUUUUUUGCUGUUGGGUUGUAUAAGUUGCUUAUAUAUUCUAGAGAUUAAGCCCUUGUCAGUUGCAUCAUUUGAAACUAUUUUCUCCCAUUCUGUAAGUUGUCUUUUUGUUUUCUUUUGGGUUUCCUUUGCUGUGCAAAAGCUUUUCAGUUUGAUGAGGUCCCAUGGGUUUAUUUUUGCUCUAAUUUCUAUUGCUUUGGGAGACUGACCUGAGAAAAUAUUCAUGAUGUUGAUGUCAGAGAGUGUUUUGCCUAUGUUUUCUUCUAGGAGUUUGAUGGUGUCCUGUCGUAUAUUUAAGUCUUUCAGCCAUUUGGAGUUUAUUUUUGUGCAUGGUGUGAGGGUGUUUCCUAUUUGACCCCUAGCCUGGGAACCUCCAUAUGCUGUGAGUAUGGCCCUAAAAAGCAAUAAAUAAAUGAAUAAAUAAAUAAAUAAAAAGACUGAGGGAAGCAGAUUGCCUGCCCCAGUGUGGGUGGGCCUCAUCUAAUCAGCUGAAGGCCUGGAUAGACCAAAAGGGUGACAAAUGAGCGAAGGAACACCUCCUGCCCAGCAGCUGAGCUGGGACAGCAACCUUUUCCUGCCUUCGUAAUUGAACUGAAACUUGGGCCCCGGGGUCUGGAGUCACCAGCUCUCACACUGAAACUGCACUGGGUCUCCAGGUUGUCGGCUGCUGCUAAUCACGAGUCUCUUCCUUUCUCUCUAGACUUCCUCUUGGUUCUGAUUCCCUGGGGAGCCCUGACUCAUACAGGACCUCAAGGAAGAUGCGUCAAUGGUGAGUGUCAGGCUGAAUGACUAGGAAAACAUCAGCAUAUAGAACAGAAAUAAGGAAAUCCGAUCAAGGAAGUGGCUGGUUUGGGGAAUUGUUUUUCAUUCAGAAAUACUUAUUUAGUAUGUUCCCAGAUAAAGCACCGGUGGUCGGCGAUUAAAAGAUCCACCAGGGAGUUUCCUGGUGGCUCAGUGGGUUAAGGAUCUGGCAUUGUCACUGCCAAAGUUCAGGUCAUUGCUGUGGUGCAGCUUUGAUCCUUGGCCUGGAAACUUUCACAUUCCUCUGAAGCAGUUCAAAUAAUAAAUAAAUAGAUAAAUAGUCCAUCAGUUGCCUAAACUAGAGGCCAGAUCCAUCCUUGCCUCUGUCUUCAGCCACAGUCUCAGUGUGGAAUUAAGCGAAAGGUCUGUAAUUUUACCUUCCUGAAUUGCUCUCCACUGUACUUCCUUGGCAGACAGCAGGGCUGUCAUUAGAAUCGUCAUCCUUCUCACCCUUUUAGAUCCACAACAGUUAGUAAGCAUUUCACUUAGGGUUCAGGAGGCUCAUGGACAUAUUUGAGGCAUUUGAAAUUUACUCUGUGUGAAAUUAAGAAAUAUAAGAAUUCCCACUGUGGCUCAGUGGGUUAAGAACCUAACUAGUGUCUGUGAGGAUGCGAGCUCAAACCCUGGCCUCCCUCAGUGGGUUAAGGAUCUGAUGUUCCCAUCAGCUGUGGCAUAAGUCACAGAUGAGGCUUGGAUCUAGUGUUGCUCUGGCUGUGGCUGUGGUGUAGCAGCUGCAGCUACAGUUCUGAUUCGACCCUUGGCCUGGGAACUUCGCAGC
rnacentral:lncRNA from 1 species